rnacentral:rRNA from 1 species
UAGCUGCGGUUGACAACGGAGGAAGGUGGGGAUUGACGUCAUAUCAUUCAUGCUCUUAGACUUGGUCUACACAUCGUGCUACAUGGGCAGACAAGGGCAGCGAAGCGCGAGGCUAGCAUUCCACAUAUCUGUUCUCAGUUCGGAUCGCAGUCUGCACUCGACUGCGUGAAGCUGAAUCGCUAGUAAUCGCGGAUCAGCAUGCCGCGGUGACUACGUACCCGGACCUUGUACACACGCUCCGUCACAUCGUACGACGGUUGUCAACUACGCCGUAAGUCGCGCUGAGCGCAGCCAUAUUCGUGCAGAUCCCGAAAUGGAUGACUGAGCUCU